ensembl:snRNA U6 U6 spliceosomal RNA
GUGCUUGCUUCGGCAGCACAUGUACUAAAAUUGGAAUGAUACAGUGAUUAGCAUGGCCCCGGCACAAGGAUGAAAUGAAAAUUCAUGAAGCAUUCCAUAUUUUU